rnacentral:rRNA from 1 species
UACGUAGGGGGCAAGCGUUGUCCGGAAUUAUUGGGCGUAAAGAGCGCGUAGGCGGUCCGAUAAGUCGGCUGUGAAAGUCAGGGGCUCAACCCUUGAAAGCCGGCCGAUACUGUCGGACUAGAGUCCGGAAGAGGCAAGUGGAAUUCCUGGUGUAGCGGUGAAAUGCGCAGAUAUCAGGAGGAACACCGAUGGCGAAGGCAGAUCUCUGGGCCGUAACUGACGCUGAGGAGCGAAAGCGUGGGGAGCGAACAGG